UGGGGAAUAUUGCACAAUGGGGGAAACCCUGAUGCAGCGACGCCGCGUGAACGAAGAAGGUAGUCGUAUCGUACAGUUCUGUCCGAUGGGAAGAUAAUGACAGUACCAUAGAAGAAAGCUCCGGCUAAAUACGUGCCAGCAGCCGCGGUAAUACGUAUGGAGCGAGCGUUGUCCGGAAUUAUUGGGCGUAAAGGGUACGCAGGCGGUUUAAUAAGUCGAAUGUUAAAGAUCGGGGCUCAACCCCGCAAAGCAGUGGUAACUGAUAAACUUGAGUAGUGGAGAUGAGAGUGGAAUUCCUAGUGUAGUGGUGAAAUACGUAGAUAUUAGGAGGAAUACCAGUAGCGAAGGCGACUUUCUGGACACAAACUGACGCUGAGGUACGAAAGCGUGGGGUGGAAACAGG
rnacentral:rRNA from 1 species